AGAGUUUGAUCAUGGCUCAGAACGAACGCUGGCGGCGUGGAUAAGACAUGCAAGUCGAACGGGACUUUUUCCAGUAGCAAUACCGGGAAAAGUUUAGUGGCGAACGGGUGCGUAACACGUGGGGAAUCUGCCGAGAAGUGGGGGAUAGCUCGUCGAAAGGCGAAUUAAUACCGCAUAUGAUCAGGGAAGACAUCUUUCCAACAUCAAAGCCGGGGCAACCUGGCGCUUCUUGAUGACCCCGCGGCCUAUCAGCUAGUUGGUGAGGUAACGGCCCACCAAGGCGAUGACGGGUAGCUGGUCUGAGAGGACGACCAGUCACACUGGAACUGAGACACGGUCCAGACACCUACGGGUGGCAGCAGUCGAGAAUUUUUCUCAAUGGGCGAAAGCCUGAAGGAGCGACGCCGCGUGGAGGAUGAAGGCUUUCGGGUUGUAAACUCCUGUCAUUUGAGAACAAGUGUUGGCAAGUAACUACUGCCAACUUGAUAGUAUCAGAAGAGGAAGGGACGGCUAACUCUGUGCCAGCAGCCGCGGUAAUACAGAGGUCCCAAGCGUUGUUCGGAUUCAUUGGGCGUAAAGGGUGCGUAGGUGGCGUGGUAAGUCGGGUGUGAAAUUUCGGAGCUUAACUCCGAAACUGCAUUCGAUACUGCCGUGCUUGAGGACUGGAGAGGAGACUGGAAUUUACGGUGUAGCAGUGAAAUGCGUAGAGAUCGUAAGGAAGACCAGUGGCGAAGGCGGGUCUCUGGACAGUUCCUGACACUGAGGCACGAAGGCCAGGGGAGCAAACGGGAUUAGAUACCCUAGUAGUCC
rnacentral:rRNA from 1 species